GUCCUGAGUGCUGCUGCACUAUGAUGACAGAAUCAUGUACC
rnacentral:sRNA from 1 species